rnacentral:rRNA from 1 species
ACUGCGAAUGGCUCAUUAAAUCAGUUAUCGUUUAUUUGAUAGUACCUUACUACUUGGAUAACCGUGGUAAUUCUAGAGCUAAUACAUGCUGAAAACCCCGACUUCGGGAGGGGUGUAUUUAUUAGAUAAAAAACCAACGCCCUUCGGGGCUUCUUGGUGAUUCAUGAUAACUUAACGAAUCGCAUGGCCUUGCGCCGGCGAUGGUUCAUUCAAAUUUCUGCCCUAUCAACUUUCGAUGGUAGGAUAGUGGCCUACCAUGGUAUCAACGGGUAACGGGGAAUUAGGGUUCUAUUCCGGAGAGGGAGCCUGAGAAACGGCUACCACAUCCAAGGAAGGCAGCAGGCGCGCAAAUUACCCAAUCCCGACACGGGGAGGUAGUGACAAUAAAUACUGAUACAGGGCUCUUUUGGGUCUUGUAAUUGGAAUGAGUACAAUUUAAAUCCCUUAACGAGGAACAAUUGGAGGGCAAGUCUGGUGCCAGCAGCCGCGGUAAUUCCAGCUCCAAUAGCGUAUAUUAAAGUUGUUGCAGUUAAAAAGCUCGUAGUUGAACCUUGGGCCUGGCUGGCCGGUCCGCCUCACCGCGUGCACUGGUCCGGCCGGGCCUUUCCUUCUGGGGAGCCGCAUGCCCUUCACUGGGUGUGUCGGGGAACCAGGACUUUUACUUUGAAAAAAUUAGAGUGUUCAAAGCAGGCCUUUGCUCGGAUACAUUAGCAUGGAAUAAUAGAAUAGGACGUGCGGUCCUAUUUUGUUGGUUUCUAGGACCGCCGUAAUGAUUAAUAGGGAUAGUCGGGGGCAUCAGUAUUCAAUUGUCAGAGGUGAAAUUCUUGGAUUUAUUGAAGACUAACUACUGCGAAAGCAUUUGCCAAGGAUGUUUUCAUUAAUCAGUGAACGAAAGUUAGGGGAUCGAAGACGAUCAGAUACCGUCGUAGUCUUAACCGUAAACUAUGCCGACUAGGGAUCGGGCGAUGUUAUCAUUUUGACUCGCUCGGCACCUUACGAGAAAUCAAAGUCUUGG